CACUCCCCACACACAUCAAUCAGCAUGGAUCUCCGCUCCUGCGUCUGUAACUGCACGCCACGGAGGUCUCGGAGGCACAAGGAGUCAGAAGUAGAACAGAAGGCGUGUGGGACAGUGUGGCCUCUGACUUCUGCCACUUCCCUGCGACCUGGUUAGCACAGGCCACAUGGUGGAAGGUGCAAGCUACUGCAAAUACUCAAGGCAGAUUUUCUGAGUCUCUGGGCAUCUCUCCAAUUUUGUCAGGCCUAAGGGAUAAAAUGAGGCACUGAGAGAAGAACAGCACUCUCCAUCCAGCAGCAGAAAGUCCAGACAGGGGCCAGGACCCUGCAGAGGGAAACUUGGGACUGGCCAGUACUGAAGGCAGGCCAGGGGGAUGGUCUAUCCUGAAGGAACAGGAAGUGGCAACAGCCUUCUAAACCCCAUGGCUUGAGAGCUUCUGGAGCUGGUUCAAUGGCCCCGACCACAGAACUGUCCUGAUGUCCGGGAGCCUGAGUCUUCUCUCAACAACGUGCCAGGGAACAACGGGUUGCAAUGGCAGGAGGAGCUAGCCUACUGACCUUGCUGGCUCACACCAGGCACCUGAGCUGAUGCGGACAGCUCUUUGCAGCACAACAGAAUCCCUCCUGAAGGCCAAUCCUCCCCAGGAUGGACGCUGAGAAGGACAGCAGUGCUAGAAGAUGACGGAACAGAACCUCUGGGCUCUCCAAUGAAGAAGUGUCCAAAACCCAGAAGGCAGGUGGAGCCAAGCAGAUUUGGGGAAAUAACAUCAUUAUGGGACUUUGAA